CAUGAGGCAACUCGAGUGAAAGUUAAAAAUCAGCUUCAACAUUGCUGCAGCAUUAACUACAACAAGAUAUUGCCAAAAUAUUCUAGAUGAGAAAAGGCAAUACGGAGAUAUCUCACACCUUGCCCAAUUCCUAUCCACCAAAACGUCAGAUUCUUUCUUUGAGGAAAAGCCCACAAUUUACAGAUUAUUUUUUACUGCACUAGACAGUUAUUCUCCUACAAAAGUAGAAACCCUUCCCUUGAAUAUUCGUCCCAAGUCGACAAUUUCAGAUUCUCUCAUCUACUUAUUUAUGCACUGGCCAUAUCCCUGCUGUUGGUUAACAAUCUCGAGUCGAUUGAAUAAUAUCAGCUCUGCCCGUAUCAAUAACGUUCUUGCUCUAAAGAGAGAAUGAAAGGCAUGGGGGGAAGGAAGAUAAAAACUAGAGAAGAACGCAGAGUAUAAGGUGAAGAGGGAAUAGAUCUUAUUUUUCUUUCUUUGCCAAAGAAAUUGGUUCAAUUGUAGAAGGAAAGAGAAGACUGUGGUGGGCGAUGAGAGAAGAGAAUUAUGG
rnacentral:lncRNA from 1 species